rnacentral:rRNA from 1 species
UACGAAGGGGGCUAGCGUUGCUCGGAAUCACUGGGCGUAAAGGGUGCGUAGGCGGGUCUUUAAGUCAGGGGUGAAAUCCUGGAGCUCAACUCCAGAACUGCCUUUGAUACUGAAGAUCUUGAGUUCGGGAGAGGUGAGUGGAACUGCGAGUGUAGAGGUGAAAUUCGUAGAUAUUCGCAAGAACACCAGUGGCGAAGGCGGCUUACUGGCCCGGUACUGACGCUGAGGUGCGAAAGCGUGGGGAGCAAACAGG